rnacentral:tRNA from 1 species
UCCCUGGUAGCUCAGUCGGUAGAGCAGGUGGCUGUUAACCACCCUGUCGCUGGUUCGAAUCCGGCCCGGGGAGCCA